GCGGUUCUGUCUGGGAAGGAGAGAAAAUGGCGGCGGAGCCGAACAAGACCGAAAUCCAGACUCUUUUUAAGAGGCUUCGCGCAGUUCCAACCAACAAGGCCUGUUUCGACUGCGGCGCCAAGAAUCCGAGUUGGGCCAGCAUCACGUACGGUGUUUUCUUGUGCAUUGACUGUUCCGGGGUGCACCGCUCCCUGGGCGUCCAUCUGAGCUUCAUCAGGUCCACAGAGUUGGAUUCCAACUGGAACUGGUUCCAGCUGAGGUGUAUGCAGGUCGGCGGGAAUGCCAAUGCGACGGCUUUUUUUCGCCAACAUGGAUGCACAGCCAAUGAUGCCAACACCAAAUAUAAUAGCCGAGCUGCCCAGAUGUACCGGGAGAAGAUCCGGCAGCUGGGGAGUGCGGCCCUGGCUAGGCAUGGCACUGAUCUUUGGAUAGACAACAUGAGUAGUGCCGUUCCUAAUCACUCCCCAGAGAAGAAGGACUCUGAUUUCUUCACAGAACACACUCAAAGCCGGAGCAUGGCCCAAACACAGACCUGCUUGGCACCUCACCCAAAGC
rnacentral:sRNA from 1 species